rnacentral:misc_RNA from 1 species
AGAAGGAUAAGAGGUCAUCUCAUUUCACACACGUGAUAUUCCAGUGGUCUUAUGUGAUCUUGAUUACAUUUUACCCUUUGCUUUUUGAUGUUGUAAGACUAAUUGUUAAUGCUUCACAGAAUGGCAGAAUGGGUAAAUUAGCAGCUAAUGAUGGUUUCUGAUAAAAAUAAAUCACACUAAUUUUUCUUAUUUCAAAUAGUUGUAUCCUCACAUAAUGAAUGUUAUUGGUCAUAGCCAUGUGCCGAAUCUGAUAUAGUGGCUGUUUGUUGGAAAUAUGAUUUUUACCAAUUUUUAUAGCAUUUUUAUUUUUCUUGCAGGCCCUAGAUAUGAUACGG